GAUUCGCUCGAGGCCUGGCCGCAUUUUACCGCAAAAUAUUAUUAUAUUAACCUUGGAAUCGACGAAUACAUCGGCCCCUCGUCUAUUCCCCUCUUUUUUUUUUCUUCUUUCCUUUUCGCUCCCGCUUCGUUGCACGGGUCAAGACGUUCAACGCUCGUCUCGCCUACUUUGCACGUACAUCUAACACAACGAGUACAUUGUAAUAUACUUGGCGAUACUUUUUCAUACGCGUGUCCUCUCUGUGACGAGAAUAUUCGUUAACGAUUCGUUAUAAAUAUAAAAGCCGUAGAUUUUCGAGGCAUCGUUUGUUUGCCCCGUUUCCCGGUCGAUACAACAUUAUCGAUUCAUAAACGCGUUUGCGCUAUCUUAUCGAUCGGAGAGAAAGAGAAAAAUUAUCCGAUUACUUUUUUUAUUAUCUUAGAUAAAGCUUACUUUGUUCUCUCGAAAAACGCGUAUAUCGCGUACAGCUUGGCGAUUGUUGAAAUGAAAAUAAAAAUUUCAUUAAUUAAUCGCGUUCAACGAGUGUGAAAGAGGUAUCGAUGUCAUGGUUUCUCUUCCACUUUACGAUCACCCACGGGACGAUUUCGAAACGACGAUUGAUUUUAUUUCAAUUUUUCCUUCUCCUUCUUUCUUUCCUCAAUUUUUUUUUUUUUUUUUUUCGUUCGCAAUAUCAAAGUCGGUCGGUAACCCUACCCACACGAGAAGGUGGAUGACUCACGGCCCUUGUUCAGAAGUCAAGAGAGCGCUGUGCUCACUUCCGUCACAGCGAUUUAUUGCAUCACCGCUGUUAUUUGAUAGAAAAUUGUCCACGACGAGUAUCUGGACGAGUAACUCCCACUCGAGUUUCGGUAAGCGACGAGCCUUUUUGUUUUUUCUUUUCCUUUUUCUUUCCCCUCGACAACGAAUAUAUAUAUAUAUAUCGAGACGAUAUAUUCUCUGGAUAAAAUGCAAGUCUCGUUCGAACGAAUACCACAACGCACGGGCGCGAUUGGCUUGAAGGAAACGGAAGUUGGAAGAGAGAGAACCCCGUCUGUGAUCAUUGCGAACGGAGGAAACUCUAUCGGCGAGAGUUUAUCUAUCGGUUGCUUUUUAACCACAACACUUUCCACCCCCACUCCUCAGCUACUUGUGUUUCAGACAACAGGAAUGGGAUCGUCGACCACGAAAAUUCUUCGAUCGGGUGUUUCACGAUUUCGAGUCUCCGCGAAUCUCUGGAACGAAAAAAGAAAGAAAGAAAGAUAUUUCGAAGAGUAGAAAUGUCGCGACGAGACCAUCGAAACAGAUCCAGGGAGAGAAAUUUAUGUUAAUCGAACCGACUCCCAUUGAUCCUUUCGACGAUGACCCGAGAUUUGUAAUUCUCGAAAGUCAUACUCAUAUCGCUCUCCUCUCAUCUCUUACGAUCCUCUGUGCUCGAUUUCUUAACUAAAAGAUUAACAAACUCAAAUGAAAUUCGGGGCAAAACUAUCCACCAACUGGAAACAAUUUUGCAUAAACUUGGAUAGACAUGGAACGAUUGUUAUUAUUAAAAAGGGAGGAUCAUGAAAGAAACGAGAAGCUGAACUUUCUCGGGAAUUCCAGCGAAGGAAAGGUCGUCCAGGGAAGGGAAGACGGAUCGUUUCAACUUUCCUCCGUAUUCUAAUUAGGGGAAAAGUUGCGAAGACACGAUUAUCUUUUCACGAUCGAGGAAAAGAGGGCGAUAAAAAAAGCGAGGCGAUAUUCGGCGCGGUCUAUCUACUCCGCUUUGGGAAUCCUAAAGAUAAAAAAAAAGAAAAAAAAAAAAACAGGAAUAACACGGCUGACGGUGGCAUAAUUAGCCAGAGAAAUAUCCACUAUCCCGUGAGAACUAUAAGUUUCGUUCUAAAUUUAUGAAUAAAUCGGUUACCACGGUUGGAACGGCGGCUUUACACACACUGGAAUUGUUACAUACUUCACACGCGUUUGUUUUCGCCAAUAUGACACGGAAAUAUCUUCCGUUCCAAUUUUCAAACCGAGCAUAUCGCGAAAAGAUGUACACGGUAGAGAUUUUCAAUUGUUCGCAUUAUAGCGUAUGUAUUGGCAUUUACGGUAAAUGGAAAUACAGUUAUCCUUUCAUAAAUAAGAUUUUUCGAACACCGUUUCGAUUCUUUUCCCUAUUUUCUAUUUUAUUUGAAAUAUUUAUCCAUAUUAAGGGAUUGUGUCGUAUUAUACAUGUGUUAGCAUAUACGGUAAAUGGAAGUACGGUUAUCCUUUUAUAAAUGAGAUAUUUCGAACUUGUACGUUACUUCUAUUCUUUCUCCUAUUUUCUAUUCGUUGAAAUUGAACCGCAUUGUAUCGGAAAGCUAGUCGGAUCCGCGACAUUCGAUAAUUGUGAACUAAUUUUUUUAAAGGUCUUUCACGCGUUACGUAAAACUUGUUGCGUAAACGUGCGCGAUCCGAUAUCAACUUUGCUGUUUUCACAAUGAAAUUUUCCUCCCUUGACUCGGGAAUCGAAGAUACCGAUCGAUUCGCGUCGACUCCGUCGGUAUCGUUUCGGUGGUUUCAAUUUUUAACGGGUGAUUCCUCUUUUCGAGACUUAAAAAAAAAGAAAAAAAAAUCGAAUCCUCGAAGGAAGAAAAAUAUUCCAAAGCAAUAUCCGUAACGACUCUUUUAAAGAUAACGCUAUAGGUUGCGUGAAUUUCCACUUGAAUUUCCAAACGUAACACGCAGAUUCGAACGCGUGUUAUUACGAUAGAUCGCGAUGAAGAAAAAUUUCACGUUAUAUAUCGCACGCGAUGAACGAUUAACCGCGGAGAGGAGAAAGGCUUUCGUUCCCUCGAUUUCGACACAUAUUCGACCGACGAAUUAUCGCCAGCUCUUCUUGUUCCCUCGACCGUAAUAAUAUAUCGCAAUUCCGAGAGAUAACGCUCCGCUCGCUCUUUAUCUCCCUCUCCUCCUUCCUCCUUCAUUUCUUUCUCCAUUCGAAAAAAACUUUACUCGUUCGACUACCUGAAAAUUACAGAUAAUAAAAGUGCAAAAUGUUUAUUCGGUUGUCGGGUGCAAGAAACAAACGAAUACCGUGUAAUCGCAACGUUUAAUCGCACGAUCGAUUUUACUGAAAGAACGUCGUUAUCCGAAAUUUUUUCCAACAUGCAUUAAUCGAGUACGUCCGUCGUUUAUGUUCCGCGUUAAACGUACAUCGUGCGAAUCUCGUCGUUUCGAGGGCAGCUCGAUCUUUGCACGUUGUACGAUCGAAGGAAACGUUAAGGAUCUCCCGACACCGAGUCGCGUUGAUCACUACCCUAUCGCGAUGCCGCGUAAACCGAGUCAGUGUACCAAACGCGUUUUCUAACCUAACGUACCAACGUUUCUAACCUAAAAAUUGAAAAUCCUUACGAUUUCGAUUUCGACGAAAAACGAAAUGUAAAUGCUUUCGUCUACGUACUUUGUGAUGACGCGACUCUAAAAUUUGAAGAAAAAAGAAAAAAAGUAGAAAUACAGGAGAUCGGAAAAACUUGGGAAUCGAGAAAAAACGGACACGCGGCCGACACGAAUCCAAGCCAGUGUGUCAAAUGUAUUUUCGCGAGCCGUUCUCCCACGAUCGACUACGGAAUCGAUAAAAUAUAGGAUAACAAGCGGUGCGAAGAAAUAUUCAAUUCGCGCGACGAAAUUUCGGAUAAAUUUGGCCGAAAAGCGAAACGAAUCGAAAUUAUUACGAUUCACGACUUUACGUUCCUUGCUCACUAUUCCAACAAUUUUAAUGGGGAAAAUUUAAUAGUUGAAGUUACGAAUAGAGUUAUAGUAAUUUAUCGUUCGAACCGUAAUAAUAAUCGGAAAUAACUGCAAAUAAGUGGGAAAUGGAUCGGAAUUACAGGAAAAGCGGAUCAUUAACUCGAAGUAACUUGAUUCGAAAUUUUUAAUUUUUAACCAAUUACUUUUUCAACGGAUUUACACAAUCAAUUUAUUAUAAAGAUUCGCUUCAAAUAUCAUCAAAUGAUAAUUCGUUGUAUUAGAUAUAUCCAACGGUGAUGGGGAAAAUUUAAUAAUUGAAAACUUGACAACAAUCGGAAAUAACUGUAGCGGAUCAACUACAAUUAUUACGGAUAAACGGUUGUUCGAGCAUUUUAAAACUACAUUAUUCUAAAUUUUUAUCCGGCUACUCUUUUUCAACGGAUUAAUUCCACGACUCUGCCUUCCAAAUCGAAACUCGUAAUUCGUGUUUGACGGUCGUCGCGCUUAUCGUGGAUCUAACCUCUAAUAAUAUUUAUAUUUUAGAUGUUGCCGAAUCUAUCUAUCGAGCGGCUUCGUUGCACGUUGCGACUUUCUAAUUAAGUAAAUACCACCUUUCGAUGGCGCGUUACACGUAGAUACUGAUGCGUGUAACAUCGAUUUCAUACGAACGGGGAAAAAGAAAUUUAAAUAUUCGGAUAACGCGGACCUAUAUUACAUACCUAUAUCACAUCCUAGAGCAGAAAAUGAGUUUAAACCAAUAUAUCGUGCCGUGAAAAUUCUUCCUUCUUUUUCACAUAUAAGUAAUUUCCAUCCGCGUGUCGCGAUAAUUGAUGCGUACAAAUGUGCUAAACGAGCGUCAAACAAUGCAUUUGGGUCAUAGUCUUGUUCGCAGCGUUCUCCAAGAUACGUUAUUCCACUUUGUAUUUAUACUUUUUUGAAAACGGAGGAAAAAAGGAAGGAAAACGUUCGAAAUACAAAGUCGAAGAGGAUCGAAGUUCGUCGGAGAGAUCGAGGAGAUGCAAAUAAGGGUUAUGAGAAUGUAAUACUUUUGAUGAAAACUUGAUAACAAUAAAUUUAUUAACUCGUACAUCAUCGUGAAAAUAUCGAAAUGUUAAUUGAACGCACAUCGCAACCCACGUUUCUAAUCUUAUUAGAAUUCAAUUUUCUCUUUCCUUUUUUCCUUUUUCUUUUUUCAAAUUGAAGAACGAGUAUCUCAUUUUCCAUCGCAAAUACGAUCAUUGAAAUCUGAUUCCUCCGUUCAACCGUGUCUAAAUAUCUAAAUAUUUCGAUUGGAUUAAAACGCGUUUUGAAAGAAAAUUUAAUCGAACGUUCGUUCGAGAUUAAAGCUGGAAGAAGAAAGAUGUUAGAAAAGGAAAUGGUCGAAAGAAAUGGAUACGAAUCGUCUGGUAAUACAGUUUUAUUCUCACGAUAAUGAUCACCAUUGAAGCAUCUACGGGAAACCGAAAAACGAGGACGCUCGAUUCGUUCGACCGAGUUGUGCUCUCCGCUUCGUGCUACGCCAAAACUCUAUCCGCGCGGAAUUCAAUGCCUUUCUUUAUCUCCCAACAACAAGAAGAAGAAGAAAGAAAAUUUUACAGAAAAAUCCUGCGUAUUUUUCAUCGAUUCGAUCGUACAAAGUUGACGGAUGAAGAAGAAAGCUUUAUUCUCUUCCCUAUACUUAUCCAUUAUCUCGUUCCACAAAUACUUACGAAUCGUUUCCUGUCUGGUUAAUGUUCACAGAUCAGCUGGUUAAAACGAGAUUCCACGUGACAAAAGCGAAAUGUAAAGAAACCUGCUGCGAGGAAUUUACAUUUGUAUAGGAGCGCGCGUGCAGGAAGGAAUGGGAUAAACACGAUACGCGGAUAUUUUUCGAGCCACAGACAGCCUCGAGGAAAUCACAACAACAUCGCAUCGGAUAUGGUGUACUUACUUGGAUCAAACGUAUCGAUUCAAGGAUCGACUUAAAAGAGAGAGCAACUUCUAGUGCUGAACGUGUAAUUGAAUAAAUAUAUGAAACGCUAUGUCGAUCAAAUUCUUUUUUUUUUUGCAAUUAUCAGUUGCAAUCGAAUACAUCAAUGUAACUCACACGUGUACGCCUAAAGCAAUUCGAUUAAAUGCUUCAAAUCUAUAAAAUGUGAGAAAGAAUUAAGACAAAAAAACAUAUCUUGACAAUAACAUGGAUAUUAUUAUUAAAAAAUAUAUACGUAUAAUUAUAUUAUAAUUAUAUAAUAAUAUUAUAGUUUAAAAAAUAUUAUUAUUGAAAAAAAAUAUAUAUCAUAAAUUUUCGAUGCAAAAAGUAUUUAAAUUCUUGAUAAUAUAUUUGUAAAAUUUCUUAACAUAUGUUACUACGCAUAAAAUUAUAGAUGAAAUAAAUUAUAUUAAAUUUAUUCGAACAACAA